rnacentral:rRNA from 1 species
GACGAACGCUGGCGGCGUGCUUAACACAUGCAAGUCGAGCGGCGCGGCGAACGGGUGAGUAACGCGUGAGUAACUGCCCCCCUCUCUGUGAAUACAGUUGGAAACGGCUGCUAAUACCGACUAGUGGGGGAUGACUCGCGUCCUAUCAGCUUGUUGGGUGGGUAGUGGCCUACCAAGGCUACGACGGUUAGCCGGCAUGAGAGGGCGACCGGCCACAUUGGGCUGAGGUACGGCCCAAACUCGUACGGGAGGCAGCAGUGGGGAAUAUUGCGCAAUGGGGGAAACCCUGAUGCAGCAACGCCGCGUGCGGGAUGACGGCCUUCGGGUUGUAAACCGCUUUCAGCCAUGACGCGGUAGUGGCAGAAGAAGCACCGGCUAACUACGUGCCAGCAGCCGCGGUAAUUC